UACAGAGGGUGCAAGCGUUGCUCGGAAUUAUUGGGCGUAAAGAGCUUGUAGGCGGUUUGUCGCGUCUGCUGUGAAAUUUCGGGGCUCAACCCCGAACUUGCAGUGGGUACGGGCAGACUAGAGUGUGGUAGGGGAGACUGGAAUUCCUGGUGUAGCGGUGAAAUGCGCAGAUAUCAGGAGGAACACCGGUGGCGAAGGCGGUGUCUGGGCCGCACUGACGCUGAGUGCGCGAAGCGUGGGGAGCAAACAGG
rnacentral:rRNA from 1 species